rnacentral:rRNA from 1 species
CACGUAGGGCGCGAGCGUUGUCCGGAUUUAUUGGGCGUAAAGAGCUCGUAGGCGGCUUGUCGCGUCGACUGUGAAAACCCGCGGCUCAACCGCGGGCCUGCAGCCGAUACGGGCAGGCUAGAGUUCGGUAGGGGAGACUGGAAUUCCUGGUGUAGCGGUGAAAUGCGCAGAUAUCAGGAGGAACACCGAUGGCGAAGGCAGGAUC